CUGUCCUGGGAGUGUGUGUCAGGGAGUCAGAGAGCAAGCAGGUACUGGGGAGGCCAAGAGUCAGAGUGCAAGAGCGAGGGAAGCACACAACCAAGAGA